rnacentral:rRNA from 1 species
AUUGAACGCUGGCGGCAUGCUUUACACAUGCAAGUCGAACGGCAGCACGGGGACAACCCUGGUGGCGAGUGGCGAACGGGUGAGUAACACAUCGGAACGUGCCCAGUUGUGGGGGAUAACCUAUCGAAAGGUAGGCUAAUACCGCAUGAGCUCGGCAAGAGGAAAGCGGGGGACUCAGCGAUGGGCCUCGCGCGACUGGAGCGGCCGAUGUCCGAUUAGCUAGUGGUGGGGUAAAGGCUUACCAAGGCGACGAUCGGUAGCUGGUCUGAGAGGAUGAUCAGCCACACUGGGACUGAGACACGGCCCAGACUCCUACGGGAGGCAGCAGUGGGGAAUUUUGGACAAUGGGGCAACCCUGAUCCAGCCAUGCCGCGUGAGUGAAGAAGGCCUGGUUGUAA